rnacentral:rRNA from 1 species
UAUGCAGUCCAAUUGGAUCGCAAGCCUGCGAGUUGAGGGGGUUCGGCCCUCGGCUGACGGCUCAGUAACACGUGGAUAAUCUGCCCUAUGGUGGAGGAUAAUCUCGGGAAACUGAGGAUAAUACUCCAUAGGUCUAGGAUGCUGGAAUGCACUUAGGCCAAAAACUCCGGUGCCAUAGGAUGAGUCUGCGGACUAUCAGGUUGUAGUCAGGGUAAAGACCUGACUAGCCUACGACGGAUACGGGUUGUGAGAGCAAUAACCCGGAGAUGAUAUCUGAGACACGAUAUCAGGCCCUACGGGGCGCAGCAGGCGCGAAAACUUCGCACUGCGCGAAAGCGCGACGAGGGAAUCCCAAGUGCUUGCACGUUAGUGCAAGCUUGUUUUUCUGUCUAAAAAGCAGAGAGAGUAAGAGCUGGGUAAGACGGGUGCCAGCCGCCGCGGUAAUACCUGCAGCUCGAGUGGUGGCCGCUAUUAUUGGGCCUAAAACGUCCGUAGCCGGGUUUGCUAAAUGCCUGGGUAAAUCGUACGGCUUAACCGUACGAAUUCCGGGUAGACUGGCAAAUUUGAGACCGGGAGAAGCUAGAGGUACUCCUGGGGUAGAGGUGAAAUUCUGUAAUCCUAGGGGGACCACCGGUGGCGAAGGCGUCUGACUAAAACGGGUCUGACUGUGAGGGACGAAGCCCUGGGGCGCAAACGGGAUUAGAUACCCCGGUAGUCCAGGGUGUAAACGCUGCUUGCUUGAUGUUAGUCGGGCUUCGAGCCCGAUUAGUGUCGGAGAGAAGUUGUUAAGCAAGCUGCCUGGGAAGUACGGCCGCAGACUGAACUUAAG